GCGAGUGGCCAUGGCAUGGGGGAACCCUGAUCCAGCCAUGCCGCGUGUGUGAAGAAGGCCUUUUGGUUGUAAAGCACUUUAAGCAGUGAAGAAGACUCUUCGGUUAAUACCCGGAGACGAUGACAUUAGCUGCAGAAUAAGCACCGGCUAACUCUGUGCCAGCAGCCGCGGUAAUACAGAGGGUGCAAGCGUUAAUCGGAAUUACUGGGCGUAAAGCGAGCGUAGGUGGCUUGAUAAGUCAGAUGUGAAAUCCCCGGGCUUAACCUGGGAACUGCAUCUGAUACUGUCAGGCUAGAGUAGGUGAGAGGAAGGUAGAAUUCCAGGUGUAGCGGUGAAAUGCGUAGAGAUCUGGAGGAAUACCGAUGGCGAAGGCAGCCUUCUGGCAUCAUACUGACACUGAGGCUCGAAAGCGUGGGUAGCAAACAGGAUUAGAUACCCUGGUAGUCCACGCCGUAAACGAUGUCUACUAGUCGUUGGGUCCCUUGAGGACUUAGUGACGCAGCUAACGCAAUAAGUAGACCGCCUGGGGAGUACGGCCGCAAGGUUAAAACUCAAAUGAAUUGACGGGGGCCCGCACAAGCGGUGGAGCAUGUGGUUUAAUUCGAUGCAACGCGAAGAACCUUACCUGGUCUUGACAUAUCUAGAAUCCUGCAGAGAUGCGGGAGUGCCUUCGGGAAUUAGAAUACAGGUGCUGCAUGGCUGUCGUCAGCUCGUGUCGUGAGAUGUUGGGUUAAGUCCCGCAACGAGCGCAACCCUUGUCCUUAGUUACCAGCGGGUUAAGCCGGGAACUCUAAAGGAUACUGCCAGUGACAAACUGGAGGAAGGCGGGGACGACGUCAAGUCAUCAUGGCCCUUACGACCAGGGCUACACACGUGCUACAAUGGUAGGUACAGAGGGCAGCUACACAGCGAUGUGAUGCGAAUCUCAAAAAGCCUAUCGUAGUCCAGAUUGGAGUCUGCAACUCGACUCCAUGAAGU
rnacentral:rRNA from 1 species